rnacentral:rRNA from 1 species
AUUGAACGCUGGCGGCAUGCCUUACACAUGCAAGUCGAACGGCAGCACGGGAGCUUGCUCCUGGUGGCGAGUGGCGAACGGGGGAGUAAUGCAUCGGAACGUACCCGGAAGUGGGGGAUAACGUAGCGAAAGUUACGCUAAUACCGCAUAUUCUGUGAGCAGGAAAGAGGGGGAUUGCAAGACCUCUCGCUUUCGGAGCGGCCGAUGUCGGAUUAGCUAGUUGGUGGGGUAAAGGCCUACAAAGGCCACGAUCCGUAGCGGGUCUGAGAGGAUGAUCCGCCACACUGGAACUGAGACACGGUCCAGACUCCUACGGGAGGCAGCAGUGGGGAAUUUUGGACAAUGGGGGCAACCCUGAUCCAGCCAUGCCGCGUGAGUGAAGAAGGCCUUCGGGUUGUAAAGCUCUUUCGGACGGGAAGAAAUCGCAUCGGCUAAUACCUGGUGCGGAUGACGGUACCGUAAUAAGAAGCACCGGCUAACUACGUGCCAGCAGCCGCCGUAAUAC